rnacentral:ncRNA from 1 species
UUAAGACAAAUAAUAACUCGUAUAUCCUCUGAAUAAGGCAGGGAGUAUCUACCGGAAGCCGUAAAUUUCCGACUAUGGGUGAAUUAAUAUA